AGUCUCUUGCCUGGAAAAAGGGCCAACCACCUCCCAGAGACAUGGGGCUGCUCUGGGAUCUGGACACAGAGUCCUGCCUGUGGCUGUCCCUGCCCCACCCGGAGCAGAUGAUCAGCCAGACUCCCUGGGAAAGGUGCUGGCUUGCCUGGAUCCCAGGUGGAGAGGAAAUAGCAUCCCCCUGGAGCUGCUCAGGCUCCCUGCUGAACGCGAGUUCACGUCCUGAGACCUUUUCCAAAGCAUGAAGAGGAAAAUCUGCCUGGGGCCGUGGGGAAGCACUUGUUACAGAAGCUGGAGCUUAUCGCACUCUCUGAGCUACAGUGUCUGCUCCUGUGGGACAGCUGGCUUUCUUCCUGAGGACACAGUGCCUCUGCACGCCUGGCUCACCAUCAUGUGACCUCUGGGCUAAAAGGUAAAUGACAAAAUCCCAGGGACUGAAGACUGAUAAAGCUUUGUGAUCCAAUCUGUUGGUGAGUACAGCCACGGAGAGAAUUCGAUUUGCAUACAUUUCCUACCCGGAAUUCCUCUGGAGCUACUGGGAGUCACCAUAGCUAACAGAGGCUCUGAGCUGUGGGGUUUAUGUGAAUGCAGAAACAACCCCCAUUUGCUUUCUUGGAAAGAGAUUUACUGGAGCGUUUUUUGUCUUAUUGUCCACCCCCUCCUCCUUUCCCUGUCCGUCGGGGGGGAUUUCGUGCUGCUGUGGAGACUCUUUGAUCUGAGUUAAUUCUUUGACGAAGCUUCACAAGACAAUAGGAAAACAGAGCAUUGCUCUGGGGAGAAUCCUUCCUGCUCAAAGAGAAAAAAGGUGGGAAUCAUGCUGGCUUGGUGAGUUGGUGCAGCCCAAAGGCAAAGAGCCUCCCUUGCUGCCCCUGGGGCUGUACUUGAGUGGUGGACACCAGGGUGCAGAUUCUGCUCUGAGCUGGGGGGGAAUGUGGGAAAGGCUGGAUGCCAGAGCUUUGUUUGGAUCAGCAUGGGGAGAAUCAGGGUGAGCAAUCAUCAAAGAGAGCGUGGGGAGCUGCCUGGUGGAGGGACAUGGGCCCCAUGG